CCCAGGCCCAGACUGGCCAUCGGGCAAAUGAUCUCCCCUGCCAGCCCCUUUACUGCUACAUAACCUCCUGCCCAUAGAAGGAGCUCUGUGGCCGGUGGGGAGAUCUGAGAUCUCACUCGCCAGCCUGCACACUGAUGAACAGCGCAGGCACUCUACACAUGGUCUACACCUGCCAAGGGAUGUAGACCAGAUUCUUCAUCCACUGGACCACCAGGGCAAAUAGUUCCUCCCUGGCUCCCCCUACC